UCAUCCUCUCUCCACCGAAUUUUUUGGCCUGCGCUCCCGCCACCGCGAGAUGACUCUGCGUCUCCGCCCUCAGCGCCACGGUGUUAUCGGGCCAUCGCGCUUGCGCGCCAUCCUAAACACUCCCCGCAAACGUCGCCCUCCACCCACCCCUCUAGAUUAAGCCCACCCUUCCUCCAAGCUCCCAAUCCACCCUUUCUCCAAGCCUCCCAGGGCCAGCCGUGAUCCCCUCCACCGUGCCACUACCGACGGUACCCCCCCCCCACUCCCUGACGCAGCCAGUCCUCCUCGCCGGGUGCACCCAUCUCCGUCGUUGUCCACUCUUCCGGCGGCAUCACCACCCAGUUGCGCCACCCGGUCGUCAUCCCUUCUACCACCGCUGCAAGGUGCAGACUCUGCUCACAAUGCACAGCUCCACCGUGCCCCGGUCACUAUUCCUCUCAGUCGCGUGCCUUCCUCCCUUCAAGGCUUCAACUGACGUCGCCGUGCUCUCUUCUGCCUCGCGUUGCUUGAAUGGGCAAAGGCUGCUUCGAUCCACGCAGUAUUCACCGUCAGAUUACUUUUUGAAUAAUCGGUGAAAAGAAGACCAGCUCUGGCGCCUACCAAUGCACAGCUUGAGCAGAGCAGCGAUGAGGACCAGAUACAUUCGACAGGCGGAGAACAAUGCACAACGGCUAUGGCAGAUGCGGCUGAGAGGAUGAGACCUCAUUCCCGAUCUAGCUGCAAGCUGCAUGUGGCUGAUGCAAUCUCCUCCGCAUCCGUUUGCUGCGUCUCCGGCCCUCCGCAGCCCGCCCAUGCAACUUUGGCGCAUGGUACUCUGGCAGCCACAACAAUUAAUUUGCGUCGCUCAGUGGUGAUGACUGACGAGUAAGAUUGAGAUAGAUCAGAUCAAUUUCUUUUUGCUCUUCCAAAGGCCUUAAUAAGACAUUCAAGAAGCUAGAUCAUGAUGUCAAAUAUUCCGGACUUCUUUGGCUCAGAGUAAAUUUCUGCCAGCUUAUGCUAUAACAUGGAAUAAAAAUAUACAAUAACACAAAUGUCUAUUGCAAAGAAAGAUUCUCACUCUGCAAUUCUUUUGAAUCUAUUGUAUAUUUGCAGGGGUCAGAUUGUCAAGGUACUUAUCAACAAUUCAAUAACGAUAUAACAACUUGUUAAAUCUCUUAUUUCCUGCUUCAUGUCUCUGAUAUUCAGAUGUUUAUUCAGUCAAUUGUUUGGAAGGAAUUGUCAAGUCACCUUGGGGCUUUGCAAUGUUAAGGGUAGAUGUCCAAAGGUGUCUUAGGUAUAUAGCUCAGUUAAGUUGUGGCACAAAUUAUCUACUCUAAUUGGAUAAAACUGCAAUAAUUAUGUAAAUAUUUAUAUUCAUUGAUGAACUCAAUAGUGGCUUGGUGGCAUAUGAUCUUAAAAGGGCCCCUUAUUCAGACAGAUCACAUUGAUGCCAAAAAUCAUGGUAGAUUCUCAUAGAUAAUAGGGAGAAAAUUAAAGGGAAUUAAUGGACAUGUAUAACAAUGUUGCAUGUUAUUCUUCAAUUAUUGGAGCGGUCCAGAGAAGGUUGAGAAUAUAUUGGCCAUAAUAAAAGAGUGAUGGAGCAAUCUCUCAAAGAAUCUCUGAAUAACAUCAGAAUUCAUAAGGAGAACUUUGCAAAGAAGCAUAUGACUACAAUGUGCUGCUGCUCAGUUCCAAUAUGAAUAGGUGACACAGACACUUCUUCAUGGUUCCAUAGCAGCGGCGGUGCGGAGGGUCAACAACCUAUGAUGCUAUCGGAAGACCCCAGCUUGCUCCAUCUAAUGGACAUUGGGUGCAGAUCUUCCUAGGCUACUUCAGCAUGAGCAAGCAGUCAAUCAACAACGCCGGCAACAAGCGCAAGCUGGAUAUUGUGACUGUCUUAAUCUAAUUAAAUCAAAAUUAGUUAUUUCUCUGCCAUUUAUUUGGUGUUAACAUAAAUAGUUCUGAUGUAUGUCCUUUUGUAUGCUUGUAAAGAAGAGAUGCCAUGUUAUCAGGAGAUGCUAAUCAGAACUCAUCUCAGAAGGGGUGUGCGGCUGUGCUAUAUCAAUUGAAAAUUGC